ACCCGCACAAGCGGUGGAUGAUGUGGUUUAAUUCGAUGCAACGCGAAAACCUUACCCACCUUUGACAUGUACGGAAGUUGCCAGAGAUGGCUUCGUGCUCGAAAGAGAGCCGUAACACAGGUGCUGCAUGGCUGUCGUCAGCUCGUGUCGUGAGAUGUUGGGUUAAGUCCCGCAACGAGCGCAACCCUUGUCAUUAGUUGCCAUCAUUUGGUUGGGCACUCUAAUGAGACUGCCGGUGACAAACCGGAGGAAGGUGGGGAUGACGUCAAGUCCUCAUGGCCCUUAUGGGUAGGGCUUCACACGUCAUACAAUGGUCGGUACAGAGGGUUGCCAACCCGCGAGGGGGAGCUAAUCCCACAAAGCCGAUCGUAGUCCGGAUCGCAGUCUGCAACUCGACUGCGUGAAGUCGGAAUCGCUAGUAAUCGUGGAUCAGCAUGUCACGGUGAAUACGUUCCCGGGUCUU
rnacentral:rRNA from 1 species